rnacentral:tRNA from 1 species
UUUGAUGUUUUGGAAACUAUAGACCUUGAACGUCUANAAAGAUGUUCGAAUCA